rnacentral:misc_RNA from 1 species
GACAGAGAUAGAAGAGAUUUCUGAUUCAUAUAUAUACAUUCAGUAAAUAGAUAUAAGUAUAUAGCGCGGUAAAGGGUGAGACGGAAUGGCGAAGAAGAAAGCAACCAUGACUCUUAAAGACUUCCAUGGUGGUUCUAUUCCUUCAGAUCUUCCAUUACCUUCUGCCCCUGGCGUAAUGAUAAGACCAUCGGAUCGUGGUGGUUUUGAUCGCCAAGCAUCAUGGGGAAACCCCAUGGGAAGACCAGAGCAUCGUUUACGUCCGGGAUCAGCUGGUGCAACCAGAAACUUUGACGAGAAGACUCCUUUCUUAAGUCAUAAUGCACCAAUCGGCCGUAAUUUUGAUGAGGAUGAGAGGAAGCCAUUGGAUGGAUCAUCUGGACCUCGUCGAACUGUUAGUGAUGAGAGUAUCCGUGCAUUGCCAAGUCGUGUGGAGCCUAAGGCAGAAUACUCUGUUACUGGGAUGGUAGGUAGUGGGCAAGUAUCAGCUCCUCCGUCUCAAAAUCCUAGAGGCCCAGCAAGUUGGUUCAAUGAAUCGACUAGUGUGGGAGCGAGUACUAAAGGUUCUGCUGGUGGUAGCGGCAGGAGCGUGAAUUCUCGGAAUGUGUCUGCAAGUAGUGCUCAAGUUGUUGCUGGGUCAUACCCAAAUGCAUGGGGCCUAAGGAAGGAGGUGGCAAGUGCAAAGGAAUCAGUUUCAGCUCCAUGGUCUGCUCCUGACGCUGAGUCGAAGUUGGCCCAUGCCAGUGCCCUUGAGAAGGUCACAUCUGGCAGGUGGCAUUCAAAGCAGCAGGUUCAUUCUCAAACGGAUGUUGAGGUUGUUAAACGUCAAGACACAGAGAAAGAAUUAUAUUACCAUGGAAGUACUACAGUCAACGAUAGUGUCUACAACAUGCCAGAUGUCGUGGGAGGACCCGAAUACAGUGAUCAGGUGCUAGCGGUUCAUGCUGAAAGAAAUCUUGUUCUUACAGACGGGGUUCACGGGUUUUACAAGGAGUUACCAGCACGGGAGAGGGCCAGGUCCCCUUUAUUCAUGGAGGCAAAUGAGAGAAGAACUUCUUCUAAUAUUACUGGGUUACAACGGCCCCAUAAUGUUGUUAGCUCUGGUGGAUACGAGAUGCAGUCACCAGCAUCUUCUGAACCAUCUGAGCGGCCCAAAUUAAAGUUGCUACCAAGAUCCAAACCAUUGGAGAGUCUGGAGCAGUCCGUAGAUUAUAAGCAGGUCAACCAGCAUCCAAGUAACCCUGUUCAUGUUGAGAAAUUGGCCGAUGCAUAUCCCACCAUAGAUCCCACCAAGACUGGGUUCGUUGAACAUGAAAGAAGCAAUCAAGUAACUGAACGCCCAAAAUUGAACUUGAAGCCUCGGUCUCAGCUUCUUGAACAAUCGGACGGAAACACAGAAAAUAAAAGGAAACCAUUAUUUGGGGGUGCUCGUCCACGUGAAAUGGUACUGCAGAAUCGUGGGAUUGAUGAUGUUAUGCAUAAUCAUGACCUUCAGCAACCUCAUCCUAGGGGCAAACAACAUGCUGGCAAAGCAGAGGCAGCUAUGCAUGCGACCAGACAUAAUGAGAAAACAGAGAGUAUUCCGAUUGACCAUAGGAUGGCGAAGAGCGCAGAUAGGCGAGAUCACAGGAUAGAUGUCGAGAAAGGAGAUGGGCAGAGGAGGAAUUGGAGAAAGGAGAACUGGAGGAACAACAAGGAGACUGAAAGGCACCACCACCACCAUCACCCGCAGCAACAUGUACAGGAAAGGCCGCCGUCACCAGAAACGUGGCGCAAACCUGUUGAAUCUCCAAGACCUGCUUCUGCUGAUGCUCCUGGUAUGAGGUAUGGAAAAGCAGCCUCUGCAGUUGAGCUGGCUGCAGCCUUUUCAAAAUCGGUCUCCGAUCCAGCAACUGCAACUGAUCGUUUUUCUAGUCAGAAAAGCCUUCCUAAUCGAGGUCAAAUCCCUUUUUCUCGAUUGACAGGCCCUCAGCAGAGGCCUCAGAUUAAUGGGUACUAAGCUCCCAAAGAUUAGCGAAUGAAAAAUGUCUUAUCAUUGCUAAUUUGCUUAAUGGGCUGCAACAGAAGUGUUGCUUGCAGCAUGAAUACCAAGAUGUGGGUAGUCAUUGUUACCCGUGCUAUAGGCUAGCAACAAAUUUAAUGAUCUUGCUGCUGAAAAUCUAGAAUCUGAUUCUUCACCUUUUAGACCUAACACCUUCAACCUUGAGAAACUCUUCCUUUUCUUUUACAUCUUUUUAGUUUGAUAAUAAUCAUCGGGGAUGAUGUUUGUUCCCUUUAUAGAUGAUUUAUUUCUCAGAAAGAAUUUCUGAUUUGAAGCCUGAUGGGCAUAAACAAAUGAUUGUAUACUUUUGGAGGUGUUCGACAUUUCAUGGUGAAUGCCGUCUGUUAUCUGAUUGAUGGUCUAGUUUAGUUUAGAAACAGAAUCGUUCUAUGCAUCGAGCCUAGAAACAGAAUCGUCUGUUAUUUGUCUUGCAGUAUUACAAUCUUGCGAUGCC